rnacentral:rRNA from 1 species
GACGAACGCUGGCGGCGUGCUUAACACAUGCAAGUCGAACGAUGAAGCUGGAGCUUGCUCCGGUGGAUUAGUGGCGAACGGGUGAGUAACACGUGAGCAAUCUGCCCUUGACUCUGGGAUAACUGCGGGAAACUGUAGCUAAUACCGGAUACUUUCACUGGAAGGCAUCUUCUGGUGAAGAAAGAAUUUCGGUCAAGGAUGGGCCCGCGGCCUAUCAGCUUGUUGGUGGGGUGAUGGCCUACCAAGGCGACGACGGGUAGCCGGCCUGAGAGGGUGACCGGCCACACUGGGACUGAGAUACGGCCCAGACUCCUACGGGAGGCAGCAGUGGGGAAUAUUGCACAAUGGGCGCAAGCCUGAUGCAGCGACGCCGCGUGAGGGAUGACGGCCUUCGAGUUGUAAACCUCUUUCAGCACCGACGAAGCGCAAGUGACGGUAGGUGCAGAAGAAGGACCGGCCAACUACGUGCCAGCCGCCGCGGUAA